AUUGGCAACUUCAAUAAGAUUUUGCUCUCUUCAGAGAAGCAGGGUGGAGCGCCGCGGCAGUAGGCGAGACUCCAGGACUUCCAAAUGUGUUGUGAUUGUUCCUUGGAGGACAUAGGAUACCAUGGCGAUAAAUUGACAUGGUUCUGAGGUGGUCUGAGGGAACGUUUGGAUCGGGCCGUCUCUAAUGCCGAAUGGAUGGAAAUGCACCCCUUGUGUGGACUGUGCAACCUUGAUAUGGGGAAAUUGGAUCAUAGACCGAUAUGUCUAGACGCUGACUACUUGGCCGGCGUGGCAGCCCCAAGGAAGCAGGCAAGACAUGUGUUUGAGGCUCGUUGGUUAUCUGAGGAUACAGUGGAAGAAGUAGUUAAAACAGCAUGGCAAAAAGCGGUCACUCAGGGGCUGUGCCCUUCGGCCAUCUCAAAGCUUGCAGCAGUUCAUAGAGACUUACAUGCUUGGGAUCGCAAUGUGUUGAAAGGGCCACGUGCUUGCCUGCGAAUGGCAUAG
rnacentral:rRNA from 1 species